rnacentral:piRNA from 1 species
CAGAAACCUUCCUUAGUGGC